CAGUUUAAUUGUUAAAAAAGGAAUUACAGAAACCUACAAACUGUGAACUAAAAAAAACAGAAGAAAUAGUAGAUGAUUCAAAGUCUGAGGAAAACUUGUCUUGCCUUGCUGCUUGGAAGAUGAAAAGCACCACAAGAGGAAGAAUGUAAGCAGCCCCUAGGAGCUGAGAACAUCUGGAUGACUGUCAGCAAGGAAGCUGAGACUUCAGAUUCACAGCUAUAAAACUGAGAAAGUGGAAAUCAAGUGGUGGAAAGUUUGUUAACACUGCAUGAGCCCUUUAUGUGUGGUGAUGAAGAAAAAUGGAGACAUUGUAGCAACAAGACCCGCAGUAUCAUUUAGUCAUCUUUAUUUCUCCAGUUAUAGAAGACAAAAACCACUAAUCAAUUUUCAAAUAAGCCUUCAACAUUGCAGUCAAUGUGCCUCCCUGUGAAGAAAAAGAGGAAAGCAUAUCUUUUUGUUUGCCUUUUUGUCUAUUUAUAUCUAUAAUUAAAGUAGAUCAAUAUUUAUUGAGCAAAUCAUACAAAGUACAACACGUUAAUUUCUUUAUUUCUCAAGACUAGUAAACACCUGAAAUUAUUCUGUUGUGACUAUUCUCAUUGGUUCUUAUAACUUAAAGAAAUAGUUCAAUUAUAGGACAGCCUGUUUUAUAAACAGGCAACAAUUUAUCACCAAGUCAAAUCUGGUAUCUCUUCAAAGUAAUACAAUAUACCACUUGUGAUGGUUAAUUUUACAUGCCAAUUUGACUGGACAUGGUGUACCCAGAUUAAACAUUAUUUCUGAGUGUGUAAUGAGAGUGAUUUUUGAAUCAGAUUGGCAUUUGAAUCAGUAGACUAAGUAGUAGAUUGCCCACCCCAAUGUGGGUGAACAUUUCCCAAUCCAUUGAGGGCCUGAAUAGAAUAAAAGACUCUUUGAGCUGGGACACUUCAUCUCAUGUUUCCCUGCCCUUAGACUGGAAUUUAUACCAUUAGCUCCCUUGCUUCUCAGACCAUCAGACUUUAAAUGAAUCACACCACCAGUUUUCCUGGGUUUCUAGCUUGCAGACAGCAGAUUCUCUCUUCUCUUUAGACAUGACAAUAAUUAGUGAGCAGUUUUCUCAGAAUGUGCUAAACAAAAGCCAGAUUAGAAUUUAUUGAGAAGCAAUUUGUAGAAGUAGUAGGAUAGAGAUAGGAGAGAAGCAGAUGACUUUAAAUGAUAUUUAGAAGAUAAAAAUGACAAGAUUUUAUGAUUCAUUUUCUUUGGAAGUAAGGACAGAAAGAUACUCACAGAUGACUUCUAGAUUUCUGGCUUGGUGGCAUUAGAAAAAGCAUAAAACCUAAAUGUGAUUUAUUCCCACCAGGAGAUUUAAACAUUUUAACAGUAAGGUAUUAACAAAGGGCCACACUGUGGAAAAUAUAUGAGGAAGCUUCUCAGGCUGAGAGUGGGAGUUGAGAGGGUGGUAUUGGUAAGGGCCUGGCUAUACCUGUUAGAAUUUUUUUAAACCUACCAAUGAAAUUAAGACAAAUGUAAGAGAAGGCCCAAUGUGGAUAUAAUUGGCUUACAGGACAUCCAGGAAAGAAUGUGAACCCUGUAGUACUCAGCCAAUGAGGAACCAGGGAAGGGACUCAUGUACUAGGGAAUAAAUUACUUGGCGCCAACACCCUCAGGUGUGCCUGCUCACCAGACACCCGAUCUUGCAAGACCAUCAUUAAAGCUUU